UACAGAGGUCUCAAGCGUUGUUCGGAUUCAUUGGGCGUAAAGGGUGCGUAGGUGGCGCGGUAAGUCGGGUGUGAAAUUUCGGAGCUUAACUCCGAAACUGCAUUCGAUACUGCCGUGCUUGAGGACUGGAGAGGAGACUGGAAUUUACGGUGUAGCAGUGAAAUGCGUAGAGAUCGUAAGGAAGACCAGUGGCGAAGGCGGGUCUCUGGACAGUUCCUGACACUGAGGCACGAAGGCCAGGGGGAGCAAACGGGG
rnacentral:rRNA from 1 species